CCCACAACCUUUGCAACCUCAAUGGCAUCACAGUUUCCUGUACAUGUACUUUCAAAGUUUUAAAUCUUGCCUAAUCUGGUGAGUGAAAAAAUUCAGAAACCAUUGUAUUUGUUUUCCUGUUUAUUUCCUGCAAAAAUUUUUUUUUCUUGUUGGCUUUUAGGAGCUUUUUAUAUAUUAAGGGUGUUGAUUUAACCAGAUAGUGUAUCUUUGCUGUUACUAUUAUAAAUGGGUUCUUCCAAUAUAUUUUGCAACUUUGUUUUUUGCAUAUAGGAAGUUAAUUUAAAUAUUCAUUAACCCCCUUGUUGGUUUACUAAAUUUUCUUACUGAAAUAGCUAGCUGUUUUAGUUUGCUUGGAUCUUUUUAUAUAGACAAAUUUAUCUUCUAUGAGUAAUUUUACUUCUUUCAUUUUUUUUGUUGUCUAGUUGCAUUGACUAGCACCUCCAGACAAUAUUAAAUCAUUGGAGGAGAUGGGUGGACUGUGAGCAUCCCUCCACUCCAGCUCAGUUUAGUUUCUUCACUUUGACGGUUCUGCCGAAGACUCAGAAAACCAGCAUGUUUUACUCA
rnacentral:lncRNA from 1 species